AUUGAACGCUGGCGGCAGGCCUAACACAUGCAAGUCGAGCGAGCGGCGCACAGGGGUGUAAUGUCUGGGAAAAUGUGUGAGGGAGGGGGGGAACAAUUGGAAAAGCUGGCUCAUACCGCGUACCCUCUGAUGUGCCCACAUGGGAUUAGCGAGUGGGUGGGGUAAUGGCGAACCUAGGCGCCGAUCCCUAGCUGGUCUGAGAGGAUGACCAGCCACACUGGAACUGAGACACGGUCCAGACUCCUACGGGAGGCAGCAGUGGGGAAUAUUGCACAAUGGGCGCAAGCCUGAUGCAGCCAUGCCGCGUGUGUGAAGAAGGCCUUCGGGUUGUAAAGCACUUUCAGCGGGGAGGCGUUACCCGCAGAAGAAGCACCGGCUAACUCCGUGCCAGCAGCCGCGGUAAUAC
rnacentral:rRNA from 1 species